rnacentral:rRNA from 1 species
GGCUUAGAGUUUGAUCAUGGCUCAGAUUGAACGCUGGCGGCAGGCCUAACACAUGCAAGUCGAACGGUAACAGGAAGAAGCUUGCUUCUUUGCUGACGAGUGGCGGACGGGUGAGUAAUGUCUGGGAAACUGCCUGAUGGUGGGGGAUAACUACUGGAAACGGUAGCUAAUACCGCAUAACGUCGCAAGACCAAAGAGGGGGACCUUCGGGCCUCUUGCCAUCGGAUGUGCCCAGAUGGGAUUAGCUAGUAGGUGGGGUAACGGCUCACCUAGGCGACGAUCCCUAGCUGGUCCGAGAGGAUGACCAGCCACACUGGAACUGAGACACGGUCCAGACUCCUACGGGAGGCAGCAGUGGGGAAUAUUGCACAAUGGGCGCAAGCCUGAUGCAGCCAUGCCGCGUGUAUGAAGAAGGCCUUCGGGUUGUAAAGUACUUUCAGCGGGGAGGAAGGGAGUAAAGUUAAUACCUUUGCUCAUUGACGUUACCCGCAGAAGAAGCACCGGCUAACUCCGUGCCAGCAGCCGCGGUAAUACGGAGGGUGCAAGCGUUAAUCGGAAUUACUGGGCGUAAAGCGCACGCAGGCGGUUUGUUAAGUCAGAUGUGAAAUCCCCGGGCUCAACCUGGGAACUGCAUCUGAUACUGGCAAGCUUGAGUCUCGUAGAGGGGGGUA